CACGUAGGGUGCAAGCGUUGUCCGGAAUUAUUGGGCGUAAAGGGCUCGUAGGCGGUCCGUCACGUCGGGAGUGAAAACUCGGGGCUCAACCCCGAGCCUGCUUUCGAUACGGGCGGACUAGAGGUAGGUAGGGGAGAACGGAAUUCCUGGUGUAGCGGUGGAAUGCGCAGAUAUCAGGAGGAACACCGGUGGCGAAGGCGGUUCUCUGGGCCUUACCUGACGCUGAGGCACGAAAGCGUGGGGAGCAAACAGG
rnacentral:rRNA from 1 species